rnacentral:rRNA from 1 species
GACGAACGCUGGCGGCGUGCUUAACACAUGCAAGUCGAACGGAAAGGCCCUGCUUUUGUGGGGUGCUCGAGUGGCGAACGGGUGAGUAACACGUGAGUAACCUGCCCUUGACUUUGGGAUAACUUCAGGAAACUGGGGCUAAUACCGGAUAGGAGCUCCUGCUGCACGGGGGGGGUUGGAAAGUUUCGGCGGGUGGGGAUGGACUCGCGGCUUAUCAGCUUGUUGGUGGGGUAGUGGCUUACCAAGGCUUUGACGGGUAGCCGGCCUGAGAGGGUGCCCGGCCACAUUGGGCCUGAGCUACGGCCCAGACUCCUACGCGCGGCAGCAGUGGCGAAUAUUGCACAAUGGGCGGAAGCCUGAUGCCGCCGCGCCGCGUGCGGGAUGACGGCCUCCCGGUUGUAAACCGCUUUCGCCUGUGACGAAGCGUGAGUGACGGUAAUGGGUAAAGCAGCACCGGCUAACUACGUG